UGCGUAGGCGGUUUACCAAGUCAGAUGUGAAAGCCCCGGGCUUAACCUGGGAACUGCAUUUGAUACUGGUAGGCUAGAGUAUGAUAGAGGGGGGUAGAAUUCCUGGUGUAGCGGUGAAAUGCGUAGAUAUCAGGAGGAAUACCAGUGGCGAAGGCGGCCCCCUGGAUCAAUACUGACGCUGAGGUACGAAAGCGUGGGUAGCGAACA
rnacentral:rRNA from 1 species